rnacentral:lncRNA from 1 species
AGGCCUGCUUCUCUCUCUUCCAUUUCCCCUGCUUGUGUUCCCUCUCUCGCUGUGUCUCUCUCUGUCAAAUAAAUAAAAAAUAUUUUAAAAAAUAUUAAAACAAACUAACAAAAAGACUAAGGAGAUCAUUUUAAGACCAUUCGGCCAGCUUUGUUCUGGACUGGCUAUUUCUUUCCACAUGCAUUACAAUCUGAUCAAGUAGGUUACGAUGUAACUGUCAUUUAACACAAGGGAAUGAGGCCUGGAGAGGUAAAGUCACUUACUUGUCCAAGGCACUGUGGUAGUCACCGAUGGCCUCCAGGGAACCAGGCCCUCCAGCGUGCCCUCCCCUCAUCGGGCAUCUGAACUGACCCGUGGCUCCCUUUAACCAAGAGAAUGGCCAUUCCAGCUUCCUGCUUGUGGUCAGGAAUCCGGCUGUUCUGCUGGAGAGGCCGGUUGGGCAGACUGGCUGGAGAAGCCCUGGCCCUUAGCCUGCACGGAGAGAACGAGGUUCUCAUAAGAGGGUAAUCAAAUGUAUUACAACAUGGUUUUACUUAAUUCCACUAGAAAUACCUACCAAAAGCCCUCAGCUCUGAAUUGCCAAAAACCCAGGCAGAAAUCCUCAUUUUACUGUAUCAGUAAACCGAGGACUGUCUGACUCACCUGCUAACUGGAGAGCAAGGCUCUACUUGGGGGUACAGUGACUAACGGAUACAGUCCUUCUCCACUCAGGAGUGAACAGGGGUAUGCAUGAGCGAAGCAGAGUCCUGAUGCAUUCAGGAAAAGGAGGCCUGGGCAGGUGCAGACGUGUCUCCCCUCUUUCGCCUGCCCACCCCAAGGAACUUCUCCGCCAGCAACCAACCAUACGUGUCUCCAGGACCGUCCUCUCGGGGCACCGCAAUCCACGACCCACAUUUUCGUUAGGGCACAGAUGCAAGCUGGCUGCCCUCUUACUCAGAACCCGGUUCUGAGUAACAGUACAAAACAGAACCCGGUUGCUCCAUGGCUCUAGUGGGCUGGGCAAGCCCCAGCGGUGAGCCUGGCCUCCACCGCGCUUCUAGUCCCCGAAAUUCACCUGUGUUGCCUUGUCCUGGCCUCACUCUCUCCGCGACCCCCUGAAUUCCCGGCGGGGAAGGCUCAGGGCUCACUAGCAACUGUUACACAAACUGUUGACAAGCUACGGUGGCUUUAUCACGGACGGUGCCAUCUCUCCCGCAGCGGGACGAGCUGGCAUCGGUGCUCCCGGGCUGACUGGGGCAGGGGACCCGCCNNNNNNNNNNNNNNN